ACCUGGUUGGCUCAGUCAGUAGGGCAUGUGACUCUUGAUCUUAGAGUUGUAAGUUUGAGCCCUACAUUGGGGG
rnacentral:tRNA from 1 species